AUGUGUACAAUUUUUAAAAUUAGUGCGUGCAAUAGCUCUCGUCGUAUUGGAAAUUGUCUUCGAGUAUAAAAUUACCAUCACCUUUCAAACUUCUUUGAAAUAUAUCUCGAGCGCGUUAGUAGUACUGCAUCGAACUAACAUAAAUAAUCAGCGUGGCAAGUAAAUCUACGUGUAUGAUUUGUCUCUCGAUAUUUAUCAAAACAGUCGCGAUGCAUUUACAGGAAAUUCGAAUGUGAUCACGUGAUCACGUGAUCAUCGUAUGAAGCAUCACGGGACUUAUUCCGCGUGAAGUAGUUCGCAAGGCAACGGCAAUGGUGUCGGACGUGAGUAAACGUUGUUUACGUUUCGGACGCGUUCAUCCUUGCAAAGUAAAUUCUGUAUACAAAUAAACGUCGCGAAUAUCGAAUACAACGACGGACAAAUGUCGUAGAGUGUUAUUUAGUGUGGUCGCGAUUAUCUAUCUAGUCAUUUUUACAUUCUCGCGUCCGUCGUGUUUGCUCGUCGAAUCGUCAAGCAUCGAUACGAAGUUGCUUUUGUUUUUGGAACUUCUUGAAUACGUCUAUAUAACCUUAAAUCGAGUAAUGGACGAUUGUAGCGAAGUGUUGUUUAGUAUGAUUGCAAUUACCAAUUUUUAAUUAUUCGUAUAUUUAUCGUACCGCGUUAGACAUUGUUAGUUGAAACAUUAAGCAUCGGUUACGAAAUUGUUUGUUUUCCGAACUUUGAAACAUAUCUCAUAUGUGUCGAAUCGAACAACAUAGAAUUAUGUGGAAUAAAUCAGUCAGAAUGAAUAUAACCUCUAAUUCGCGAAUGACAUUCAGUAUCUAACCUCUAAUCUGCAUAAAAGUAAUUUGUCGAACAUUGUUAUAUCUGUUUUUUGAAUUCUUUUAACGCAUAUCUCGCGCAGUUUCUGGUACACCAGAAAUGUCAAACAAAAUUAUAGGUGAUUGUCGUGUUUCACGUUAUUUAUUUAUUUAUUGGAAAAUGUAUAAUGUAUAAUCGCGCAGUAGUGCGAAUAUAUUGUCGGUCGACAAAGAACACGAUAAAGAAAAGUGAUGAUAAUUAAUUAUUUGGCAUUAUGUUUCGUGGUUGUAAAAUUCGGGAGUGCCGUAUGAAGUGAUAAUUAGUGCCAUAUAAGUCUGGAGCAAUGAUAGAGCUAAUUGCAAUGGGAUGUUAAAUUCAUUACCGGUAGUCAAUUGUUCAUCUAUCGCUUACCGGGAAGUGCUCGAGACGACUUCUUAAAUGCGUGCAGCUUCAACGACAAAUAGAUGCAGCUGGCAGCGUACUUAGCUAAACAAAACAAUCGGCGGCGGUCGGCGUGCGGCGUGCAACGGCGACGACGACGACGACGACGAUUCUCGCGCAUAUAGGUAUGUACGUGUAGUGUCGUAAGUGCCCCAUAUUGCCUACGCGAAUUACCGGGUAUUACACCUCGUACGAGCGUUCGAGCGACUUCGAAAGAUCUAUUGAGUUAUUACACCACCGUUAUGUAAUGAUGGCGACGAGCCCCGACAAACCAAAUGCAAAUUGGAUGUAUCCCUAAUUUCGCACUUCUCGCACGCUUCCCGAUUCCAUUAAAGUCUUCAUGAUUAUGCAAUUACGCGAUUGAAUAGUUGCUAUAAAUCUAGAGAGCUAAUUAGAUCGUAUAAUCUUCCAUGUUAUUUCUAAAAAAAAAGAAAGUAUUGAUUGACAGAAUGAAUUUCGCACGCUACUUCCGUAAAUUAUUUCUAAGAUACAAGGUGUCUCUCACGUCUUAUGAUAAAUUGAGAAUCGCGAUGUCGUGCAGUUUUUCAAUUCGGUUGCGAUAUGAUCGAGGAAAUUGUUACCUAUUUGCAUCCGUGUAAAGCUUAACUGUACAGAACUGUAUAAUUUUCAGUAUUAAUGAAGUCCGUGCGAUUAAAAGCCUUUUAUGAAAUAUUUUCUUAAUUAAGAAGAAUAUUCUCUAAAUAAUUACACUGGAAAUUCAUAACGGGAAGAAGAUACGCGACUCUUAAUAUUCUCUUACGACAUACAGAAAUUUUCUGCGCGUUAUUAUUUAUGUAUCCAUUCGAGUGAGCUCAUGGCAAUGUAAUGCAACUUGGUUUGCGGUAGUUAGAAGUCUAAAAAUAUAGCACCGUCCCUGCUUGUCCAUUCGUCUAUCCGUCCAUUCGUCCAUCUGUGCUUUAUUUGUGCUGGUCGCCACGAUGUCGUUGGCCACACAUACAACGAAUACGUUAUACGACUUUCGGGUUAUGGAUUCGGGAAAGCGUGACGGGAAUAUCAUUCGUAAAGGCGGUAAAAUUAAUUAUCGAUCAAAAGACAAUAAAAAGCUGAGAGAACGCAGAAAUUUGCGAUAGCAAUGUUCCCAUUAAACUCCAUUAUUUUAUCUUUGUUACUCAUUAUUUUUGCAUAAGAAAAUAUUUAUGCGAAGAAAUAAGGUACGCGAGGCGACUUUGUAAUACAUUUGUGAUUACUUCGAUGAUUUAUUAUUCGUCCUUAAUCAUUUUCAACGCACAAUGACGACAACAUUGCGUAGCAAUGACGAUGCUCGAGAAUCCUUAAUUAUUUCUCCACGAUUAAUCAAAGUAUUCGCGAUAAAAUUGAGCAUUUAAUCCAUCAUUUGAUUAAUUGAUAUACGCCAUCGGUGGUCAAGGGUCCGCCAUAGUUCCGGACGAGACUGCAGUUGUCUCCCAAAGCGUUACGCUUGCAUACGCAUUGUAUGCACGCUUUGAGAUACGCGCAGACCCGCGCAGACCGCGGGGAGCUAAUUAGGAAUUAACCUCAGCGCAGUUUAUGGUUCUGCACGAGCCGGUCGUUAAAUUAAUCUUGCCGACCGGCGGAGAGCCUGAUUCCGCACCUCCGCUCCGGGUUAUGUACACCUGGCGCUCGGCGGCACCGUGAUUUUACACCUGGCCUGCCGGCGACGAAGCCAAAUCGAGAUCGUCAUUGCGUCUCUAACGACGCAAUGCGUCGACGAGUUAAUUGCGAAAGUUGUUUGCUCGGUAUGAAUCGCAGAAGUUCGCGCGAUGCACAUGUUUUUCACACGAAUAAAAAUAAUGUUACAAUCAUCCCAUUACAUCGACAUUCCGUGCAUGCCACACUGUUGAAACAAAAACAGCAUAUAAAAAGGUACGACAGACAUCGGAAAGUUGAGAAAAUGGAUUGAACGAUUUAAAACACUAAAAAUUUGCGUGACAAAACUCAGAAAUUUGUAAAAUAGGUGAGAAGCUAUUGGUUCAAGUAGAGUAUCAGUUGCGAGAGAAUUAUUUCCGCACAUUUCCUGCCAAUUUCCUCAAUGUCGCGGUGCAAACAGAUCGACGUGGGGUAUUCGGUAUCUAUUGGAAACGCGUCGAGCGCAUACCUGUAUAUAUGCGCACACGUUCAUAUCAUAAAUUUGGAUUGCACCUUGCUCGCAUGCAAUCUCGACGCGCGCAGCGACGAGCAACAAGAAGGAGCCGCUACAAAUCUGCGCGCACGACCGCGUGCGUGCGAUUUCGGCGCGCUCGCGCACCUUGUAAUGCGAGAUAGGCGAGGGACGCGAAGCGGGUAGAAGAACGACAGGAGUGCGCGCGGUCGCCGGCCCUCCGGAAGGCCUCCGCUGGCAGAUGGCCGGCAGAUGUCUACAAUCUUGCCCUGAUUGCAGGUCCGCGCGAGGAGUAGUCGUCCGUGAAAGGCGAACUGCUAUCCGCUUGCACGUGGCGGCUUUGGUAGCACGGCUAUCCGCGCCGGGCGUGGAUCCUCCAUCACACCGGCAUCGAUCGAUCGAGCGAUCGCGCGGCGCACGUAACGAUUCUCGCGCGUCGUGAUGAUGGUGUACCUUCUCAUAUCGAGAAUAUAAUACUUCCGAGCGAAGGAGGGCGUGCAAGGGCGCGGGACGUCGUUAUCUUCAAUUCUAUAUGAUUAUUUUGAUGAUUUUGAUGAAAUCCUUUAUGAUGCCGGUGUUUUGAACAGGUGGUUGCGAUUUCGGUCAAUCUAUUAAUUAUUAACCAACAUUUACGAAAAAUAACAUUAAUCGCAGCUCCAUAAUCGGCGAAUUGUGUUUUAUUACUUUCAAAAUUUCAAACUUUUUGCAAUGAAAGAAAAUUUCGGAAAUUUGAUCUGAGAAAGAAGGGCCAGCUCCGUUAUUUGUUUCCUUAGCGCGAGGAUUAAAAAGUUCCCCGAAGAAUGAUAUUUCAAGCGACCUGCCUGACCAGGGCAGUUUUAAAUAUCCCGAUGAUUUCGAGCUAUGUCGGCUAGCUCUCUCGGGGCCGGUGCAACUACCCCGAACACACAAUGGCGUGAAAUUCCAUAGCAAAUCGUAUCCGGCGGCCAGGCAUCUAUUCACUCGAGAAAUUCGUCCGCCGGCGGAAUCCAUCGGGUUUGGCGUCAUUGCUGCGGCCAGCCUCCUGUUCGGAGUACCGGUCGCCAGGAGGAUUUCUGGGGCCCUUUGUCUGCUCUGCUCUGCGCGAGAAAGGUGCACCUGCUCGACGUCGACCCCGGCGGGCAACCUGCCUGCACAGCGUCGUC